rnacentral:rRNA from 1 species
UACGUAGGGAGCGAGCGUUGUCCGAAGUUACUGGGCGUAAAGCGUGCGCAGGCGGCUUUGCAAGACAGAUGUGAAAUCCCCGGGCUUAACCUGGGAACUGCAUUUGUGACUGCAUGGCUGGAGUGCGGCAGAGGGGGAUGGAAUUCCGCGUGUAGCAGUGAAAUGCGUAGAUAUGCGGGGGAACACCGAUGGCGAAGGCAAUCCCCUGGGCCUGCACUGACGCUCAUGCACGAAAGCGUGGGGAGCAAACAGG